GCACUGGUGGUUCAAUGGUAGAAUUCUCACCUUCCACAUGGCAAACCCAGGUUCAAUUCCUGGCCAAUGUG
rnacentral:tRNA from 1 species